UACGUAGGGUGCAAGCGUUACUCGGAAUUACUGGGCGUAAAGCGUGCGCAGGCGGCUUUGCAAGACAGAUGUGAAAUCCCCGGGCUUAACCUGGGAACUGCAUUUGUGACUGCAUGGCUGGAGUGCGGCAGAGGGGGAUGGAAUUCCGCGUGUAGCAGUGAAAUGCGUAGAUAUGCGGAGGAACACCGAUGGCGAAGGCAAUCCCCUGGGCCUGCACUGACGCUGAGGAGCGAAAGCGUGGGGAGCGAACAGG
rnacentral:rRNA from 1 species